rnacentral:misc_RNA from 1 species
AUUUCACUUUUAAUCCUUGGCUUUUAUCCUCUUUAGUCCAAGGUGAUUUGACUUAAAAAGUCACUUGACCAUAGAAAAAAAAGAAGAUUGGCAGAUAGAAAAAAGAAGAAUACAGCUCUUUGGAAUUUUCUUUCUGGAACGCACAGGUCAAAAUAAAACAAGAUUCUACUUUUUCUUGUUUUAUUUCUUGUCUUUUGUGCAUACUAUCAUUGAGAUUAGCUAGUGAUUUUAAG